AUACGUAGGGGGCGAGCGUUGUCCGGAAUGACUGGGCGUAAAGGGCGCGUAGGCGGCGGUGUAAGUCUGGAGUGAAAGUCCCGCAUUCAAUGUGGGAAUUGCUUUGGAUACUGCAGUGCUAGAGUGCGGAAGAGGUAAGUGGAAUUCCCAGUGUAGCGGUGAAAUGCGUAGAGAUUGGGAGGAACACCAGUGGCGAAGGCGACUACUGGGCCGUAACUGACGCUGAGGCGCGAAAGCGUGGGGAGCGAACAGGAUUAGAUACCCUGGUAGUCCACGCGGUAAACGAUGAAUGCUAGGUGUUGCGGGUAUCGACCCCUGCAGUGCCGGAGUAAACACAAUAAGCAUUCCGCCUGGGGAGUACGGCCGCAAGGUUGAAACUCAAAUGAAUUGACGGGG
rnacentral:rRNA from 1 species